rnacentral:rRNA from 1 species
AGUGAACGCUGGCGGUAGGCCUAACACAUGCAAGUCGAACGGCAGCACAGUAAGAGCUUGCUCUUACGGGUGGCGAGUGGCGGACGGGUGAGGAAUACAUCGGAAUCUACUUUUUCGUGGGGGAUAACGUAGGGAAACUUACGCUAAUACCGCAUACGACCUACGGGUGAAAGCAGGGGAUCUUCGGACCUUGCGCGAUUGAAUGAGCCGAUGUCGUAUUAGCUAGUUGGCGGGGUAAAGGCCCACCAAGGCGACGAUCCGUAGCUGGUCUGAGAGGAUGAUCAGCCACACUGGAACUGGGACACAUUCCAGACUCCUACGGGAGGCAGCAGUGGGGAAUAUUGGACAAUGGGCGCAAGCCUGAUCCAGCCAUACCGCGUGGGUGAAGAAGGCCUUCGGGUUGUAAAGCCCUUUUGUUGGGAAAGAAAAGCAGCAGGUUAAUACCCCGCUGUUCUGACGGUACCCAAAGAAUAAGCACCGGCUAACUUCGUG